rnacentral:rRNA from 1 species
UACGGAGGGUGCGAGCGUUGUCCGGAAUCACUGGGCGUAAAGGGCGCGUAGGCGGCGCGGGAAGUCCGUGGUGAAAGCCCGAGGCUCAACUUCGGGUCGGCCAUGGAUACUCCUGGGCUCGAGCACUGUAGAGGCAGGUGGAAUUCCGGGUGUAGCGGUGGAAUGCGUAGAGAUCCGGAAGAACACCGGUGGCGAAGGCGGCCUGCUGGGCAGUAGCCGAAAGGGUUGAAAGCUGACGCUGAGGCGCGACAGCGUGGGGAGCAAACAGG